GCAAAACUUCACUUUCAAACAUCUUCCAUGUAACUUCCGGGUGCAGUUGACUAUUUAUGUUUUGAAAAAAUUCUUCUAUGUUUGAAACAUAUCUUUAGAAAACACCGUUCUUUCCCAACAAUCCGAUAUGGAGUAUCUUCAGUGCCCCAAUAUUAUUUGUACUUGUUCCUCACACUUGUGUUGGCUUGUCUGAAACCCUCAAUAUCUCUGAGACGUUCUGUCCCUUGUGACCGAUAUUCCAUUGUUGAAGAGAGGAUCAUUGCUGUGGCCCGUAAGAGGAAAAUCACAGUGGCCUAGGCGUGGGCUCUCCCUCUGAAGGCUAUCCCUGAAGUUGGCCUUCCUGUCUACACCGAAAUGGGUUCUCCUGUAUGCCCAGAAGUGUUCUUUUUGGUGUGCUCUGAUAUGGGUCUUCUCAUUUGUAAUGAAAUAAACCAAUUUACUUGUCCAGA